rnacentral:lncRNA from 1 species
AUUAUAGUACGAAAUAAUGAAGUUUAUUAUCUACUUAAUAUUAAUUUUGAAAUCCUUACAUAAAUAUUACAUAAUUAUUUUUUUAAAAAACUAACCUCAACUUUCGAUCGUUGAUCUAACAGUAGUGGGUAUCUUUGAGCUCUUCUAGUAGUCCUACAUAACUCGAGCCAUGGUUCCACCUAUUCAAAUAAUUUUUUUUAAAUUGACCCAAUU